rnacentral:rRNA from 1 species
CGGACGGGUGAGUAACACGUGGAUAACCUACCUAUAAGACUGGGAUAACUUCGGGAAACCGGAGCUAAUACCGGAUAAUAUAUUGAACCGCAUGGUUCAAUAGUGAAAGACGGUUUUGCUGUCACUUAUAGAUGGAUCCACGCCGCAUUAGCUAGUUGGUAAGGUAACGGCUUACCAAGGCAACGAUGCGUAGCCGACCUGAGAGGGUGAUCGGCCACACUGGAACUGAGACACGGUCCAG